rnacentral:siRNA from 1 species
ACUGUAGAUUAACUCUAGUGGAGU